UAAAAAGUGUGUAUCACCUCCCUCCUCUCUCACUGCUCUGGCCAUGUGACGUACUGACUCCCACUUUGCCCUCCACCAUGAUUGUAAGUUUCCUGAGGCUUCCCCAGAAGCUGAGAAGAUGCUAGCAUCAUGCUUCCUGUACAGCCUAUGGAACCUCUUUUCUUUACAAAUUAGCCAGUCUCAGGUAUUUCUUUACAGCAAUGGGAGAACAGCCUAAUACAAAUACCAGUUUUGGUA
rnacentral:lncRNA from 1 species